rnacentral:rRNA from 1 species
AACGCGAAGAACCUUACCUGGUCUUGACAUCCACAGAAGUUUUCAGAGAUGAGAAUGUGCCUUCGGGAACCGUGAGACAGGUGCUGCAUGGCUGUCGUCAGCUCGUGUUGUGAAAUGUUGGGUUAAGUCCCGCAACGAGCGCAACCCUUAUCCUUUGUUGCCAGCGGUCCGGCCGGGAACUCAAAGGAGACUGCCAGUGAUAAACUGGAGGAAGGUGGGGAUGACGUCAAGUCAUCAUGGCCCUUACGACCAGGGCUACACACGUGCUACAAUGGCGCAUACAAAGAGAAGCGACCUCGCGAGAGCAAGCGGACCUCAUAAAGUGCGUCGUAGUCCGGAUUGGAGUCUGCAACUCGACUCCAUGAAGUCGGAAUCGCUAGUAAUCGUGGAUCAGAAUGCCACGGUGAAUACGUUCCCGGGCCUUGUACACACCG